CUAAACCAUGCACCGAAGCUGCGGCAGCGACACUGUGUGUUGUUGGGUAGGGGAGCGUUCUGUAAGCCUGUGAAGGUGGCCUGUGAGGGUUGCUGGAGGUAUCAGAAGUGCGAAUGCUGACAUAAGUAACGAUAAAGCGGGUGAAAAGCCCGCUCGCCGGAAGACCAAGGGUUCCUGUCCAACGUUAAUCGGGGCAGGGUGAGUCGACCCCUAAGGCGAGGCCGAAAGGCGUAGUCGAUGGGAAACGGGUUAAUAUUCCCGUACUUGGUGUUACUGCGAAGGGGGGACGGAGAAGGCUAUGUUGGCCGGGCGACGGUUGUCCCGGUUUAAGCGUGUAGGUGUGUGUUCCAGGUAAAUCCGGUUCACUUUAACACUGAGGCGUGACGACGAGGCACUACGGUGCUGAAGCAACAAAUGCCCUGCUUCCAGGAAAAGCCUCUAAGCAUCAGGUAACAUCAAAUCGUACCCCAAACCGACACAGGUGGUCAGGUAGAGAAUACCAAGGCGCUUGAGAGAACUCGGGUGAAGGAACUAGGCAAAAUGGUGCCGUAACUUCGGGAGAAGGCACGCUGACACGUAGGUGAAGUGAUUUACUCAUGGAGCUGAAGUCAGUCGAAGAUACCAGCUGGCUGCAACUGUUUAUUAAAAACACAGCACUGUGCAAACAUGAAAGUGGACGUAUACGGUGUGACGCCUGCCCGGUGCCGGAAGGUUAAUUGAUGGGGUCAGCGCAAGCGAAGCUCCUGAUCGAAGCCCCGGUAAACGGCGGCCGUAACUAUAACGGUCCUAAGGUAGCGAAAUUCCUUGUCGGGUAAGUUCCGACCUGCACGAAUGGCGUAAUGAUGGCCAGGCUGUCUCCACCCGAGACUCAGUGAAAUUGAACUCGCUGUGAAGAUGCAGUGUACCCGCGGCAAGACGGAAAGACCCCGUGAACCUUUACUAUAGCUUGACACUGAACAUUGAGCCUUGAUGUGUAGGAUAGGUGGGAGGCUUUGAAGUGUGGACGCCAGUCUGCAUGGAGCCGACCUUGAAAUACCACCCUUUAAUGUUUGAUGUUCUAACGUGGACCCGUAAUCCGGGUUGCGGACAGUGUCUGGUGGGUAGUUUGACUGGGGCGGUCUCCUCCUAAAGAGUAACGGAGGAGCACGAAGGUUGGCUAAUCCUGGUCGGACAUCAGGAGGUUAGUGCAAUGGCAUAAGCCAGCUUGACUGCGAGCGUGACGGCGCGAGCAGGUGCGAAAGCAGGUCAUAGUGAUCCGGUGGUUCUGAAUGGAAGGGCCAUCGCUCAACGGAUAAAAGGUACUCCGGGGAUAACAGGCUGAUACCGCCCAAGAGUUCAUAUCGACGGCGGUGUUUGGCACCUCGAUGUCGGCUCAUCACAUCCUGGGGCUGAAGUAGGUCCCAAGGGUAUGGCUGUUCGCCAUUUAAAGUGGUACGCGAGCUGGGUUUAGAACGUCGUGAGACAGUUCGGUCCCUAUCUGCCGUGGGCGCUGGAGAACUGAGGGGGGCUGCUCCUAGUACGAGAGGACCGGAGUGGACGCAUCACUGGUGUUCGGGUUGUCAUGCCAAUGGCACUGCCCGGUAGCUAAAUGCGGAAGAGAUAAGUGCUGAAAGCAUCUAAGCACGAAACUUGCCCCGAGAUGAGUUCUCCCUGAGACUUAGAGUCUCCUGAAGGAACGUUGAAGACGACGACGUUGAUAGGCCGGGUGUGUAAGCGCAGCGAUGCGUUGAGCUAACCGGUACUAAUGAACCGUGAGGCUUAACCUUACAACGCCGAAG
rnacentral:rRNA from 1 species